GGCUCUGUAGUGAAGUUCAUAGUGAGUUGCAAGCUCAUUGAUGUGUAUCAGUAGUACACCGGAGUCU
rnacentral:tRNA from 1 species